CCUACGGGUGACAGCAGUGGGGGAUAUUGCACAAUGGGGGGAACCCUGAUGCAGCGACGCCGCGUGGGUGAAGAAGCGCCUCGGCGCGUAAAGCUCUGUCAGCAGGGAAGAAAAUGACGGUACCUGAACAAGAAGCCCCGGCUAACUACGUGCCAGCAGCCGCGGUAAUACGUAGGGGGCAAGCGUUAUCCGGAUUUACUGGGUGUAAAGGGGGCGCAGACGGGGAUGCAAGCCAGGAGUGAAAGCCCGGGGCCCAACCCCGGGACUGCACUUGGAACUGCGAGGCUGGAGUGCAGGAGGGGCAGGCGGAAUUCCUGGUGUAGCGGUGAAAUGCGUAGAUAUCAGGAGGAACACCGGUGGCGAAGGCGGCCUACUGGACUGCAACUGACGUUGAGGCCCGAAAGCGUGGGGAGCAAACAGGAUUAGAUACCCGAGUAGUC
rnacentral:rRNA from 1 species